CUUUACCAGACUGCCCAAGGGAUCCAAGACAGUGGAUGCUAUAGAACUUUAAGGUUUACAAAGACCAUUCCCCACAAAUAACCCCUGCAAAACAAUGAGUAGUUCUGAAUUCCCUGCUUCAACUCUCGGAGUGUUAAAUUGUAUUUAACAAAAGGCAUGUUUGGCUUUGGUCUUCUUGAAUCUCGGUAGCUUGUUACAAACAUGUUGUGAAGGUUUUCUAACUGGGGAUUGAGG